AUUGAACGCUGGCGGCAGGCCUAACACAUGCAAGUCGAACGGUAACAGGAAGCAGCUUGCUGCUUUGCUGACGAGUGGCGGACGGGUGAGUAAUGUCUGGGAAACUGCCCGAUGGAGGGGGAUAACUACUGGAAACGGUAGCUAAUACCGCAUAACGUCGCAAGACCAAAGAGGGGGACCUUAGGGCCUCUUGCCAUCGGGUGUGCCCAGAUGGGAUUAGCUAGUAGGUGGGGUAACGGCUCACCUAGGCGACGAGCCCUAGCUGGUCUGAGAGGAUGACCAGCCACACUGGAACUGAGACACGGUCCAGACUCCUACGGGAGGCAGCAGUGGGGAAUAUUGCACAAUGGGCGCAAGCCUGAUGCAGCCAUGCCGCGUGUAUGAAGAAGGCCUUCGGGUUGUAAAGUACUUUCAGCGGGGAGGAAGGGAGUAAAGUUAAUACCUUUGCUCAUUGACGUUACCCGCAGAAGAAGCACCGGCUAACUCCGUG
rnacentral:rRNA from 1 species